rnacentral:rRNA from 1 species
UUGAACGCUGGCGGAAUGCUUUACACAUGCAAGUCGAGCGGCAGCGCGGGGGCAACCCUGGCGGCGAGCGGCGAACGGGUGAGUAAUGUAUCGGAACGUACCCUGUCGUGGGGGAUAACACAGCGAAAGCUGUGCCAAUACCGCAUACGACCUGAGGGUGAAAGCGGGGGAUCGCAAGACCUCGCGCGAUAGGAGCGGCCGAUAUCGGAUUAGCUAGUUGGUGAGGUAAAGGCUCACCAAGGCGACGAUCCGUAGCUGGUCUGAGAGGACGACCAGCCACACUGGAACUGAGACACGGUCCAGACUCCUACGGGAGGCAGCAGUGGGGAAUUUUGGACAAUGGGGGAAACCCUGAUCCAGCCAUGCCGCGUGAGUGAAGAAGGCCUUCGGGUUGUAAAGCUCUUUCGGCCGGAACGAAAUCGCGUACGUGAAUAACGUGCGUGGAUGACGGUACUGGAAGAAGAAGCACCGGCUAACUACGU